GGCAACAAUAAUAUGUAUUGACCAGAGGUUCUUUUCUGGCAAACAAUUCUCUCAAGAUUGUAUUUGAAUCUAUGGCAAACAUAUGGCAACUAUUUAUUGACACGAGUGACAAACAGUUUACCAGACGCCGUUUCUGCUGAACACGAGUUCCAAGACCAGUAACCAUUGACUACCAAUCAGGGGGAUUCGAAAAAUCUGUUAGAAAAUGGAACCCAAACUUAAAAAUUAUUAGCUAAUUGAUGCCAAGUUAGCAAUGUCAUGUUUUAUGGGAUAGAGUGAAACACAUUUUGUUGAUACCAGUUUCAAUCUGUCAGUGCUGCUGACUGGCUAGUGCUUAGCUAGCUGGCUAACGUUAGCUAGCAUAUUUUUGCACAAUUAAUGUGAUAGCUAGCUAGCUAGCUAACUAAUGAUUUGCUACUUAUAUUUUUAGUUGUAUACCCUUCCCUCCCCGUGGUGUUGGAAGAAGCUGUAUUGGGAGGAGGAUGGCAUCAACAACCUGGAAAGAUGUUUGUGGUGCACUCGCUCAUAAAACUUUUUGAGUGAUAAAUCAGUGAUUUUCUUCAAGCUUGAUAAAGCCUUAUACACCUGACUGAGGAAGAAGAGAUAAUCAUUAGGAGACAGUUGUCUAAUAGCAUGCAUCCAAGAAGCUUUGGACGAAGGACUUCCACAGAGCCGCCACCCUCAAAAAGACAAUAGUUCUGUACUGGGUUUGAUUUAGUUUUUGUUGUUUUAAAUAUUUACAUUUUGUAAAUGAACUUUUAAUCUCGUCUUCACAAGAAUGUUUAUGAUUUCAAGUUGUAUUGGAUUUAUUUUUUAUCUGAUAAGACAUUGAAUGCAGUACAUGUUGUUUAGUAUAUUUAGUACAUUAAGUAUGUUUAGUUCUCUGUGAGAAGCAAGUUCAUUUAAAGUUAAAUGUGAUUUGGUUCAUGUAGAUACAACAUGUCAAUGUUGUUAAUACCCAGAAACUUGAUUUUAAUCUGCAUAUUCAUACUGAAUUUGCCACAACUAUUUGCCAGAAGCCUGUUUUUUCGGUAAGGGUAGGGUUUGUUUUGAAUUAUUUAAAUUUCUAUUCCUAUAUUUCCAGUAUAGCUAGGAUGUCUGUCUGAAUAGUGACAAGAUCAGCCUGAAAGUCUGAAUUUGCAUUUGUUGAAUUGUUGGGGAUAAUAUUGAAUUGGGAAUUUAAUUAUUGGAAUUAUCUAACAUUGGAAUUCAAAGGAACUGAAUUACUGUACAUCUGAAUUCAAAGACUGACCUGGAAUUUGAAUUGAAUUAAAUGGAAUUUACAGGGAGAGAGAAUUUAAUUAUAAUUUAAUUAGUGGAAUUGACCCCGACCCUGGUGUUAGGUUUAUCCCUAAACGUCCUUUGCCACCAGUUUAAACAAAUCAUAAAUUCAUCUAAUUUGCAUGUCUGGUUACUGAGGUUAAACAAUUUCCCUCAAGGGUACAACACCAGUACUCCAACCCAGAAUCUCUACUCCUCUCAGUUACAUUCUGAGCCUAAUCUUUGCCCUCCAGUCAAGACCACCCCACUUCUGAUGCAAUAGGGGUUCAAUCUGUCCUCUCAUGGCACUGGCUUGCGAGAUAACUGAUGGCUGAACUGAUGGAGCUCAUUGGAUUGCAUAGGAUUGUGUCUAUCAUGUGUUGGAUAUUAGGGCAGCCUGGCAAGAGGUGAGGGUGCCAGCUGUUGGGUCUUGUGAUCCUGAUUAGAUUGUUGUUUCAGUGUUGAUUGUGUCUAGGAGCAGAGGUGACCUGGGGCUGGGGAGGGAAAAGAUGAUCACCCUUGUGAUCACCCUCCUUUCGCACCCAAACACCUCGCGGAGCUCAACCGUUCGCCAGCUGAUCUUUUGAAGGAUCUCUCUCUCUUUCUGUCUGCAUUGCCUCUCUUUUAACGUCUUGUGUGUCCUUGGUGGUACCUCUCUUUCCCUCUCCUCUCCCCUUUCUGUUUGUAUCUGUCCCUUUUUCUGUCUCUCUCUCGUUUUCUCUUUUUCUCUCUCUCUGCUAUAAGUUAAAGGAGUGAAGGAGUGUUUUAUGCAUCAGUCAUGCUUCAGUACCAGUGAGUGAUUAAAGGAAAGUAUAUGGGCCACAUUGUGAAGUUACAAAGUGGGUGUGAUUCUCCACUUCAACUGCCAGCUUCAAUUCAUUUCUGCAGAGUUGAUUUGGACUGAAAUGACACUUUGUGUGUUGGUUGGUCAGUUUCCAGAAUUGGUUUUGAUUAAGUAAGUACCCAAUGAUGGGGCACAUAGCAAUCUAAUAGUGCUUGUAAUGAAAGUGCAUUUCAAAAGUUAAGGGAUGGCAAAAUGAGUAUGAUGGUGUGUGUGGAGGCUAUAACAUUAAGUGUAACCUAACAAGAAAAUAGUCACAUUGGGUAUAGGAAUAAUAACAAUGUUUGCCUCAGCAUAUUAUGCUGGCGUUGUGAUCUGGUGAGCAGAGGACAAAAUAGGAAAUGUUGAGUUUGUAAAAGAUGUUGUCAAACCUGAUUUUGUUUCCGUCAAAUUGAGUUAGUGAGUGACUAAGCAGAAAAUAUAUAUAUAUUUUUUUUAACUAUAUUUUGGUAUUUUGUUAAUUAGUCCGAUGUUGAAAAACGCAUCAUCAUGUUGUGGCAAAUGACACUUUGCUUCUUGAAAGUCCAAUGUCUUAAACUUGACUACUGACAUGGAAAACAUUUUGUGGGCUAAUAAAAAAAUACCAAAAGAUUGUUUUUUUGUGGAUUUUUCCAUUAACCUUUAGGAUGAGUUGUUGCAAUUUGCUGCCAAAAGCUGCCCAACUGAUCC